CAAGUUUCACGGCAACAGCUGGACGUGCGGUGAUACGUGUUUAUCCCCCUCCCCUCUUUCUUUCUCUAUAUUUUGUCCCUCAAGGUAGGGAUUACAUUCAACUCAAGAUUUUCUGGCCGUGCUUACCUACCUCUGCGCUAAACAAUGAAGGUGACUCUGCUGUUGCUGAUAUUUGCUGUAAUGGGGAAGUUGGAGAUCUCGGAUGCAGUGCUUCCAGUACUUCCAGUACUUCCAGGUUCUAACCCACUACCACUACCUUGUAAAGUUCUUUUGGAAAGUUGUCAAGCGGAUCUUCUGGACGUAGGGAACACAGGCAAAAUUUGCUGUCCACCCUUCACCUGCAAAGGUGCCGGACCAAUAAAAAUGUGCGCGUGACCUUCUGGAACAAGCUGUUUUGGACACUGACAUGACAUGUCAAGUUAACACAGACCUGGCAUCGUGCCGUUUACUGAAUCGAUUUGGUGUCAGGCUGCCAUACGUUCUUGUUAUGUCAGUGACGUACAGCCAUUAAAAAAAUUUUAUUGCUCU